UACAGAGGUCCCAAGCGUUGUUCGGAUUCACUGGGCGUAAAGGGUGCGUAGGUGGUGAGGUAAGUCGGAUGUGAAAUCUCCAAGCUCAACUUGGAAACUGCAUUGGAAACUACCUUGCUAGAGGAUUUGAGGGGGGGGGAUUGGAAUACUUGGUGUAGCAGUGAAAUGCGCAGAUAUCAGGAGGAACACCGGUGGCGAAGGCGGGACUCUGGGCCGAUACUGACGCUGAGGAGCGAAAGCGUGGGGAGCAAACAGG
rnacentral:rRNA from 1 species